GAUGUAUGGAAUGAAGCUUGAUUCAAGAUCUUUCCAAAGACUUCCAUGGAUGGUUUCGUAGCAUCUGUUUGAAGAGAUCUCGGACCAGGCUUCAUUCCUCACAUC
rnacentral:pre_miRNA from 1 species